GGCUUUUGGGGCUCCAGAAAUAGCAUCGCAGGCUACGCAUUUCAAAUCCGCUUGUUAUCUCGGAUUUAGAUAAUGAUCCACCUUUAGAUGACAUAAAAACUUAAUCCUGAACGCAACGGGACAAUCUCCGGCGCUGGGAAACGGUGCCUGCUGUCGGUUUUACGGGGGGAAGUGGCGUCGGAUCUCGGUGUGCCUGGUUAUCCUGCUGUUUACUUCUACGGUUCAUAAACACUCCUAUUCUUUUCCUCCUGCCAGAAUUGAGAGGUGCAAAACCUCUCAACUCAACACAUCAAAGAGACACAUGCACCUGUGAAUAAAUCACAGUGAAUGCUGGACCCUCUUGAAAGUCCCCCUCACCCUCUCUAUGAUCUAGUGUCCUACACGUUGGGGCCUGGAUGGUGUUGAGCUGCCAGCACGUGCAGGGUCUCCGAGACAUUCAAGUCGUGUCGUCCAAACCACAUGACAUCCUCCAGAGCUGCCUCUGCAGCUUUCUGCUUGUGG